CGCGCCUCACGCCGCGAGCGGUUGGCGACACACGGAGAAGAAAGUGAGAGAAAAGAAAAAGAGACUGAAUAAGCUGUCCGAAGAAUAAUCAGUUGAGAUUGUGUCUUUGAGAACUGAUCAGGAUGCAGAGAACAGGAAGCUGGGGAGAUCUCAGGGAGUAAAGAUACUAGAAAACGGGGAGCCGAGGAGGAGACGCGGACACCGGGAGCGGAGACAGAGACAGGUGGAAGCGGGGCGCCGUGGGAGGAGGACCGAGAGGAGAAGCCAGCUGACAGGAGACAGGAACAGGAGUGGAGAUGAUAUUGCGGGGGAAGAAAUCAAAAGAAGUCUUUCCAUGGAAAUAGGAGAGUAGGCGGAGCUGCAGGUCGCUGGAAGAGGCUGUAGGUGGAGC